CAGUAGCCGCGGGAAUACGUAGGUGGCAAGCGUUGUCCGGAAUUAUUGGGCGUAAAGGGCUCGCAGGCGGUUUCUUAAGUCUGAUGUGAGAGCCCCCGGCUCAACCGGGGAGGGUCAUUGGAAACUGGGAAACUUGAGUGCAGAAGAGGAGAGUGGAAUUCCACGUGUAGCGGUGAAAUGCGUAGAGAUGUGGAGGAACACCAGUGGCGAAGGCGACUCUCUGGUCUGUAACUGACGCUGAGGAGCGAAAGCGUGGGGAGCGAACAGGAUUAGAUACCCCGGUAGUCCCUGUCUCUUAUAC
rnacentral:rRNA from 1 species